UGCAAGUCGACGGACCCUUCGGGGUUAGUGGCGGACGGGUGAGUAACACGUGGGAACGUGCCUUUAGGUUCGGAAUAGCUCCUGGAAACGGGUGGUAAUGCCGAAUGUGCCCUUCGGGGGAAAGAUUUAUCGCCUUUAGAGCGGCCCGCGUCUGAUUAGCUUGUUGGUGGGGUAAUGGCCCACCAAGGCUACGAUCAGUAGCUGGUCUGAGAGGAUGACCAGCCACAUUGGGACUGAGACACGGCCCAAACUCCUACGGGAGGCAGCAGUGGGGAAUCUUGCGCAAUGGGCGAAAGCCUGACGCAGCCAUGCCGCGUGUAUGAUGAAGGUCUUAGGAUUGUAAAAUACUUUCACCGGUGAAGAUAAUGACUGUAGCCGGAGAAGAAGCCCCGGCUAACUUCGUGCCAGCAGCCGCGGUAAUACGAAGGGGGCUAGCGUUGCUCGGAAUUACUGGGCGUAAAGGGAGCGUAGGCGGACAUUUAAGUCAGAGGUGAAAUCCCGGAGCUUAACUUCGGAACUGCCUUUGAUACUGGGUGUCUUGAGUGUGAGAGAGGUAUGUGGAACUCCGAGUGUAGAGGUGAAAUUCGUAGAUAUUCGGAAGAACACCAGUGGCGAAGGCGACAUACUGGCUCAUUACUGACGCUGA
rnacentral:rRNA from 1 species